rnacentral:rRNA from 1 species
UUGACCUCCAAUCAGGUACGACUACCCGCUGAACUUA